rnacentral:misc_RNA from 1 species
GAUGAAGAACGCAGCGAAAUGCGAUAAGUAAUGUGAAUUGCAGAAUUCAGUGAAUCAUCGAAUCUUUGAACGCACAUUGCGCCCUCUGGUAUUCCGGGGGGCAUGCCUGUUCGAGCGUCAUUAUAACCACUCAAGCUCUCGCUUGGUAUUGGAGUUCGCGAUCUCGCGGCUCCUAAAAUCAGUGGCGGUGCCUGUCGGCUCUACGCGUAGUAAUACUCCUCGCGAUUGAGUCCGGUAGGUUUACUUGCCAGCAACCCCCAAUUUUUACAGGUUGACCUCGGAUCAGGUAGGGGUACCCGCUGAACUUAAGCAUAUCAAUAAGCGGAGGA